GAUGAACGCUGGCGGCGUGCCUAAUACAUGCAAGUCGAGCGAACAGACGAGGAGCUUGCUCCUCUGACGUUAGCGGCGGACGGGUGAGUAACACGUGGAUAACCUACCUAUAAGACUGGGAUAACUUCGGGAAACCGGAGCUAAUACCGGAUAAUAUAUUGAACCGCAUGGUUCAAUAGUGAAAGACGGUUUUGCUGUCACUUAUAGAUGGAUCCGCGCCGCAUUAGCUAGUUGGUAAGGUAACGGCUUACCAAGGCAACGAUGCGUAGCCGACCUGAGAGGGUGAUCGGCCACACUGGAACUGGGACACGGUCCAGACUCCUACGGGAGGCAGCAGUAGGGAAUCUUCCGCAAUGGGCGAAAGCCUGACGGAGCAACGCCGCGUGAGUGAUGAAGGUCUUCGGAUCGUAAAACUCUGUUAUUAGGGAAGAACAAAUGUGUAAGUAACUAUGCACAUCUUGACGGUACCUAAUCAGAAAGCCACGGCUAACUACGUG
rnacentral:rRNA from 1 species